CAGCAAUGUCCUUAGCGGGUUGGGUGAAGGCAGAGGAAGCCCGCUAGGCUGUGGUCGUGCAACACAGUGGCACAUGUGUGUCAGCCCUGCCAGUCCCACAGCACAGUGGGGCUGGGCACCUCUUCUCCUUCUCCAGGCUCUGGUACCCUGGCAAGAGUGCUGGGCUGGGCUGGGCAGCUCCAAACCAGGUAAAUGCUGGUGUGUGCCUGGAAGUGGGAGUGACUCGUGCUUCCCGGAAUGGCUCGACAGGUAGCAUUCCUGUGGGGUG
rnacentral:lncRNA from 1 species